GAUGUUGGAGACGUGUCAGGACCACAGCCAGUGAGUGACUGUUCAGCAAGGCAGCGGCACAGGUCCUGUCUCUGGUUUCUGGAUUACCACUGCAACUUUUGCAUCUGAAGCUUAGCCUGAGUGCCAGAAAGACUGCUCAGAGGCAGCAGAAGGAUCACUACAAAGGUGGAGACCUCUCAGGAAAAAGGAAGUUUGCUGAGUGAUGGUUCACUGCAAAUAGUUUGAACAGCUGUACAGACUGCUCCUUCUCUUACCUUCCUUUAGGGUAUGAUUUCUUCCUUCAUCUCUUUCUAAGUCUCCAACCCUAUAAUGUUCUUUGCUGAAACUGUGCCACCUCUUCUACACUGAUCACUCUCUAUUACAACUUGAUGCCUCCCUGCCAUUUUUACCUGCACUAAAAACGUCAA
rnacentral:lncRNA from 1 species